rnacentral:rRNA from 1 species
UACGUAGGGUGCAAGCGUUAAUCGGAAUUACUGGGCGUAAAGCGUGCGCAGGCGGUUUUGUAAGUUUGUCGUGAAAUCCCCGGGCUUAACCUGGGAAUUGCGAUGGAGACUGCAAGGCUUGAAUCUGGCAGAGGGGGGUAGAAUUCCACGUGUAGCAGUGAAAUGCGUAGAGAUGUGGAGGAACACCGAUGGCGAAGGCAGCCCCCUGGGUCAAGAUUGACGCUCAUGCACGAAAGCGUGGGGAGCAAACAGG